rnacentral:rRNA from 1 species
GAUGAACGCUGGCGGCGUGCCUAAUACAUGCAAGUCGAGCGAACGGACGAGAAGCUUGCUUCUCUGAUGUUAGCGGCGGACGGGUGAGUAACACGUGGAUAACCUACCUAUAAGACUGGGAUAACUUCGGGAAACCGGAGCUAAUACCGGAUGAUAUUUUGAACCGCAUGGUUCAAAAGUGAAAGACGGUCUUGCUGUCACUUAUAGAUGGAUCCGCGCUGCAUCAGCUAGUUGGUAAGGUAACGGCUUACCAAGGCAACGAUGCAUAGCCGACCUGAGAGGGUGAGCGGCCACACUGGAACUGAGACACGGUCCAGAAUCCUACGGGAGGGAGAAGGAGGGAAUCUUCAGGAAUGGGAGAAAGCAUGACGGAGCAACGCCGCGUGAGUGAGGAAGGUCUUCGGAUCGUAAAACUCUGUUAUUAGGGAAGAACAUAUGUGUAAGUAACUGGGCAGAUAGUGACGGUACAUAAUCAGAAAGCCACGGCUAACUACGUG